rnacentral:sRNA from 1 species
GCUGGGCAUGGUGGCAUAUGCCUGUAGUCCCAGCUACUUGGGAGGCUGAGGUGGGAGGAUGGCUUGAGCCUAGGAGGUGGAGGCUGCAGUGAGCCGAGAUUGCACCACUGCACUCCAGCCUGGGCGACAGAGCCAGACCCUGUCUCAA